AAUGCCUAUUGGAAAGCCACGAAGUUAUGUUAUAAGAGGUCUGGCAAAAGUACAAGCACAUAGAUAUGUGUUAUUCAAUUGUUCUGAUGUCAAUCCAUACCUUAGAGCUCAUGCUGAAGAGAUCACAGCUAAGCAUACUGGACAUCAAGUGAGCCAUAGAGAAGUUGAGAAAAUUCAAAAUGAGAAGUUCCAUCUGUGGUUUAGAGGUCAUAUUAUGCGGAUUGAGGGGGCAGAUGGCAUUCACAGCUUGAAAGAUGGCAUCAGAUGGCUAGCUCGUGGCCCAGUUGAAGCAGCAAAAAGGUAUCGUGCUUUCAACAGUCGAGGUUUUCGAUUUAGGCCGAAACGGUUGGAUGGGGAGACUCAAAAUAGUGGAGUAGUGCUUACUGCAAAAACAUCCAGUUAUGCUAGUGCAAGUGAUGCCAGACCGGUUUUAGGUGAUGUCACUUACUAUGGGAGGAUAAUUGAUAUUAUUGAGUUGAACUACUCUGGGAAUUUUCCUGUGGUACUUUUCAAAUGUGAAUGGAUUGAUGUUCUUUCUAGAAGAGGAAUAAAAAAGGAUAAGUAUGGAUACACACUUGUCAACUUCUCACACCUGAUACAUACAGGAGAAAAGAUUGGGCA